GCCCUCGCCGCAGCCGGAUAUCAAUGAUCCGAUAAAAGUAAGUAUUAUACAGGCCUUAAAAGACAGUAAACUGAAUGCAAACAUUCUUUCGCACCAAGUUUUUCUCGCAAUUCUGUUAACUUUUCGUCCCUUCCCGACUACAUUCGGCUUAUUAUUUAAAGAGAGCUCAAUAAUGUAAUUGGUGUUUUCUUGAGACCCGAUGUGUAUAAAUAUAUCCUAUUGUAGGCCUUAAACAGAUACAAAUGUAACCAUAAGUUUCUGUGAUUGUUUUUAAAGUCGAAGCAACCGCCAAAGCCGAAGCCACAGCCAAAGCCGAAACAAGCACUCGGUGGAUCGAAGGCGUCGCAAUCGUCGCCCCCAGGAUCCGGUUCAUGUGUUGAUGUUCAGGUGUAUGACUGUCCUUUAUGUUAUGACACUUUUUACACGUCGGCGAAACUGCGUGGACACCUUAAAAAAGGACAUCCCCGUUAAAGGAAGGGCAUACAUGAUGAUUGUAGAGCUAAAUCAGCAUUUAAAACUGCGGCAGGGUUGCGUACACACAUAAUUAAGCAUGGACCUGGUACGGCAUGGCCCCGGUAACGACUGAUGGGAUUAUCCCCGUGAAAUCGUCAAUCUCGUCAGCAUCAUCGGGAUUGUUUGGAGGAUGACGGUGCAUAACGGACACACAAAAACAGUAACUAGUGCAGAACUACCACAGAAUGCCCUCGACAAAUCUUUUUCUAUGUCCACAUUAAUAAAGUUUAGUUUUUACAGAUGUAAUGUCGUUUUCUGUGUGUUUAUGAAAACUUGUUUUUUUUUCUGAGUCAAGAAUUUCCAAUGCUAUCUGGCGUCAGUGCAGACUGGUCUGUCAAUGUUGUUAUAAAUGUAUACAUUUUCACUAAUACAGUUGCACUACAGGUUAUAUAAUGUUUUCCAUUAAACAAAACUUACUUACAGUGAUAACUCUAUAGACAGUUGACAACACAAUCCAUAUGAAUGAAUGUCAAAUGAUGAAAAAAAAACACACCUAAACUCCACUUUGACCUUUACGUGGGCAAUCAUUCCCCAUGCAGGCUACGAUAAGAGCUUUUGUCCAUGCCACACUUAACACAACAUAAAGUACCUUCGACAAAGGGACAGACUACAAAACUCACAUGAAAUGGAUAUUUACUUUUCUUUUGUAUUUCCUCUUUCCUCUUUACUGCUUAACCAAAUUUCUUUUACCAUUUUUGGAAAGGCCCUAGUAAAUCAAACACGAUUUUAAGUGAGCGUUUACUAUCUGUUUUGCAUAUUCUUUUGAUUUAUGCGGAGAAGUAGACAUGUAGAUUUAAAUAAGUAUUUUUAGAAUGUGUUUUAAACAUUUCUGUUAAAAAAAGUUGUUAAAAAUAUUUCUGGUGAUCAGCCGGACUGAAACACGAUGAACUUCUGUUAGGUCUGUUGAGACUUGUUUGUCCAAAUUAUCUCGAUUUUUUUUUAGAUUAAUGAAGGGCUAUUUUAUUGGUAUAUUAACAAUGUCACAAGAAAACUGCCCACAAGAGGUACUUUUAGUAAUAUUGACCCAUAUUUGACUCUUAAAACAAAACCCCAAACUUAAGCAAGAAUUCGUCAAAGUGCACAAUUGAAGCAAAUCAUACCAAAAUAAAUGUCCAUGAUAAACAAAUUAUGAUAUUUGGAAACUUCA